CCAAAUUUCCAUUAGAUUCAAUUUUCAUGGAAAAUAGAGUCCAAGAUAUCUGUUAUUUUUAAGUGAUGUUGUUGUUUUUACUUGAAAGCAAGCAUAUCAUAGCUUAAAUGAUCUAUCAUUUCCAUCGUGCGUUAAGCUAUCAUAACUGCCAUUGAUGUUGGAUUGGAUUGUCUUAAGCUUAGACCUUAUGAUUUUUCAGUGUGGUUCAUCAAUGUGCUUAAUUACCUGUUUGAAACCUUCUCAGGAAAUAGCUAUAAUGGCAGUUGUUCUUGUUUGGUUUAUAUUUCAUGCCAUUAAGGUUGGACCUUUAUUCAAGGUUUGAGCUUGGAACUUUCGGUUUUGAGGUCUUAAGCUUAAAACUCCAAUCUAUGUUAGAUGCUCAUUUCUAAAGAAACACAUUAUAUAAGUGGAUCGUGUAUUACGUACAUAAGGAACGUGUAACACUACUAUUUUAGAUACUAAUUCGAGUAGAAGUUGGGUCGUUUGGUGUAAGGAAGUAGGAUCUAUACCGACAUUUCCCUUCUUUAAAAACUCUUAUGGGUAUAUAUAAGAUUAAGAUUAACAAUCCAUAUGGCUGAGCAUCGUAUGUGCAAAAUAUUAGAAUCAAUUCAUGUUUUAAAUACUAAUUUUUCACAUUUAAUUCAUUCAUUAAAAGAAAUGAAAAAAUUCCACUCAUCAACUUGUUUAGGGAUAAGUGUUGGAAACCUUUUUAACUCAACUAUGGUAGCUUGUGGAACUAUGUUUACAAGGCAUAUAGCUUUGCUUAGUGCUGAGUGUUGACCCCAUUGCCAAAGUGCAAUAUAAAGAGAGAGUAUUUGGAUGGGAUCCAUAUGAAUUAAAAAUGGUAAUUCGCUGUAUUGAAAUAAUUAAUCUAAUGACCUCCCAUUUUGUGAGAGAAUCUUCCCUCCAUCCAGCCAGGGUCCCCUUCAGACUUGAGCUACAUAUGCUGACUUCGUUUCCACUUUAAUCCGUGGCCUCAUUUUAGCUGCUUACCAGAAUACUCAAGGAAAUUCUGGAGAGAACGAUCCGAAUAAUACCACAAUUUUUGUUGGUGGUUUGGAUCCUAGUGUUUCUAGAUAUUUUGUUGUUGGUGGUUAGAGAUUUUUGUUGCUGGAUAGAAAUGUGUUUGACUCUGGAUAUUUUCAUCAUUUCAGGCAAGAAUGAUUGAUUUUUAUUACGGUCUGAUUAUGGUUUUAGUCCCUCUGUUAUCAUUUGAUUUUAAUUUAGUAUAAUUUGGUUUCUUUAAGUUUAUAAUAUUGACGUGAAUUUAAAAAAAAAAUGGAACUAUACUAAAUGCGGUCACAAAACUUAUGGAGGAUAGUUAUACUUUUUGCUUUCAUUAAUGAAUAGCUUUCUUGUCUUUAUCUGCCCUUAUCAAAUAAGAUUUUAUUAGUUAAAGGAUGUUUCCUGGAUCAACCUUCAAUUGAUACUGUAAGCAAUUUUCUUAUGUAAUUCUAAUAUAGAAUGUAUUUUGUUUUAAUAGAUCUAAUGCAUGGCAAUAAGGAGUCAUUAGCAUUUUUAUUAAGUUGUUUGGAUUUGCAGGGGAAAAAUGAAUUGCAAGUUUAUUUCACUUUCUGGGGUGAAAUAAUGAUAUAUUUUCUCUGUGCUCCCAGGGGGUUCCAUCUUUAUUCUCAGAUCUUUCGCCUUUGUAUGAUCACCCUGGCAAGGCAGACAUGUUGGAGCAACUUAUUCUUGAGUUGGCUGAAAUUCAUGGGUUAUUACUGAUGUUGUGUCAAUUCCCAAGACAAAUGAGGACUUCCGUCUCCUUUAUGACACUAAAGGUCGUUUUCACCUUCAUGCCAUCACUGGUGAUGAGACUAAGGUUUUUAUUAAUGGGACAUUAGUUUGUUAUGUUUCAUGUUACUGUUCGAUAUUCAUUAUCUACUUUUACCCUGUUGUUGUCUUAUAAUGAUUUGACAUAAUUGCACAUGUGCAAUUAAUUUAGUUAGAUUUCCCCCAUACUGAUCUACUUUUACCCUUUUUUUCUAAGAUACUCUGAUUUUGCAUUGUUUUCACGUGCUUAUUUCUGCUCUUGUUCUCACUGAUGUAAGAUUGAAUUAGUUUAAAAAUGUUUUCUGCUAA